rnacentral:rRNA from 1 species
ACCGAGGUUAGUAAUAGCUGGUUACUCAAGAAAAGAAUUUUAGUUCAAUCGUAAAAGAACUUAGCCUCUUAUCUCAAAAAGCUUUUCUAAUCCUUUAAGAUAUAUUCAAUAAGGGUACAGCCUUAUUGAAAUAGGAUACAACCUAAAACUCAGGUUAAUGAAUUUAUUCCCCUAUCAAGAGUUAGUUGGCUUAAGAGCAGCCACCUUUAAAAUAGCGUCAAAGCAUUCUCCUCUCCCAUAUUUUAAUUCCUAAAAUUUAUCAGAACCCGAUACUACUAUUGAGUCAUUCUAUAAUUUUAUAGAAAUGUUCAUGUUAGAACUAGUAACACAGAAUUAACUUCUCUCUAUGUGAAUGUAAAUCAGAUUGAAUAACUCACUGAUAAUUAUUCAGUAAUGAUAAUAAUGUAGCAACUUCACUAGAAAAUCCUACUAUCUAACCCUGUUAACCUAACACAAGAACAUAAGAAAAAGAUUUAAAGACAAAGAAGGAACUCGGCAAAUAUGGAUCCCGCCUGUUUACCAAAAACAUCGCCUUUAGAAUCCUAUUAAAGGUAUUGCCUGCCCAGUGACUAUAUGUUCAACGGCCGUGGUAUUCUGACCACGCAAAGGUAGCGUAAUCACUUGUUUUUUAAAUAAAGACUAGUAUGAAUGGCUUCACGAGGAUCCAACUGUCUCCUUUGUCCAAUCAGUGAAACUGAUCCCCCCGUGCAGAAGCGGGGAUAUUAUCAUAAGACGAGAAGACCCUAUGGAGCUUUAAACCUACAUCAACAAAUUUCUUUCUAUCUCUAAACUAACAUUUAUUAAAUUUGCUUGAUUAAAGUUUUAGGUUGGGGCGACCAUGGAGAAAAAAAAAUCCUCCACGAUGAUCUCCUAACUAAGAACCACAAUUCUAAGUAUUAAGACUCUUAACUUAUAUUGACCCAUUCUAUGAUCAACGAACCAAGUUACCCUAGGGAUAACAGCGCAAUCCAUUUCAAGAGUCCCUAUCGACAAAUGGGUUUACGACCUCGAUGUUGGAUCAGGGCACCCAAGUGGUGCAACCGCUACUAAAGGUUCGUUUGUUCAACGAUUAAAGCCCUACGUGAUCAGAGUUCAGACCGGAGA